rnacentral:rRNA from 1 species
GAUGAACGCUAGCGGCAGGCCUAACACAUGCAAGUCGAGGGGCAGCACAUAAAGUAUUUCGGUACUUUUGGUGGCGACCGGCGCACGGGUGCGUAACGCGUAUGCAACCUACCCUUAACAGGGGGAUAAUCUGAAGAAAUUUGGUCUAAUACCCCAUAACAUUUUAUAAGGCAUCUUAUAAUAUUAAAAACUCCGGUGGUUAAGGAUGGGCAUGCGUUGUAUUAGCUGGUUGGUAAGGUAACGGCUUACCAAGGCAACGAUACAUAGGGGGACUGAGAGGUUAACCCCCCACACUGGUACUGAGACACGGACCAGACUCCUACGGGAGGCAGCAGUGAGGAAUAUUGGUCAAUGGACGCAAGUCUGAACCAGCCAUGCCGCGUGCAGGAUGACGGCUCUAUGAGUUGUAAACUGCUUUUGUACGAGGGUAAACCUAUCUACGUGUAGAUAGCUGAAAGUAUCGUACGAAUAAGGAUCGGCUAACUCCGUGCCAGCAGCCGCAGUAACAC